rnacentral:rRNA from 1 species
UACAGAGGUCCCAAGCGUUGUUCGGAUUCACUGGGCGUAAAGGGUGCGUAGGUGGCCAGGUAAGUUUGGUGUGAAAGCUCGGAGCUUAACUCCGAAAAGUCAUUGAAUACUAUCUGGCUGGAGGGUCGGAGGGGAGACUGGAAUUCUCGGUGUAGCAGUGAAAUGCGUAGAUAUCGAGAGGAACACCAGUGGCGAAGGUGAGUCUCUGGACGACUCCUGACACUGAGGCACGAAAGCUAGGGGAGCAAACAGG